CUACAGAAGGAGUGGGGGCCAAUGGGAGUUUAGACGAAAGCGGUAACCCCGUGGUGUCCUUCUUCAACAAGAUCGCCGCCCAGAAAGUUCGCAGGGUCGCCCACAGCGGAGCCCAGCAGUUUCUCGUCUUCGCGGAGGCUCCAGAGAUCUUGAAUGAAGUGCCGGCCUCCAUGAAUAACUAUACCGGAGGCAGCAAUAGCCGCCUGGAUGUACUGG
rnacentral:lncRNA from 1 species